GGUUGAUCCUGCCAGUAGUCAUAUGCUUGUCUCAAAGAUUAAGCCAUGCAAGUCUAAGUAUUAGUUUUAAUACAACGAAACUGCGAAUGGCUCAUUAAAACAGUUAUAAUUUACGUGAAAAUAAUUACUACACGGAUAACCGUGGUAAUUCUGGAGCUAAUACGUGCGCAACACUGGACUUAGGAAAGGUGGCACUUAUUAGAUUAAGAAUCAACCUAUGCUUGCAUAGUAGUUUGAUGAUCCAUAAUAAGUUGGCGAAUCGCAUGGCUUAGGCUGGCGAUAGUUCACUUAA
rnacentral:rRNA from 1 species